GCAAAUCUCUUAAAGCCGUUCUCAGUUCGGAUUGUAGGCUGCAACUCGCCUACAUGAAGUCGGAAUCGCUAGUAAUCGCGGAUCAGCAUGCCGCGGUGAAUACGUUCCCGGGCCUUGUACACACCGCCCGUCACACCAUGAGAGUUUGUAACACCCAAAGCCGGUGGGGUGACCUUUUGGAGCCAGCCGUCUAAGGUGGGACAGAUGAUUGGGGUGAAGUCGUAACAAGGUACC
rnacentral:rRNA from 1 species